rnacentral:rRNA from 1 species
GACGAACGCUGGCGGCGUGCUUAACACAUGCAAGUCGAGCGGUGAACCGGGCUUCGGCCCGGGGAUCAGCUGCGAACGGGUGCGUAACACGUGGGCAACCUGCCCCUCACUCUGGGAUAACCCCGGGAAACCGGAGCUAAUACCGGAUACUUUCGCGGAGCCACAUGGCCCUGCGAGGAAAGGUCCGCCGGUGAGGGAUGGGCCCGCGGCCUAUCAGCUUGUUGGUGGGGUCACGGCCCACCAAGGCUACGACGGCUAGCUGGUCUGAGAGGACGACCAGCCACACUGGGACUGAGAUACGGCCCAGGCUCCUACGGGAGGCAGCAGUGGGGAAUCUUGCGCAAUGGCGAAAGCCUGACGCAGCGACGCCGCGUGGGGGAUGAAGGCCCUCGGGUCGUAAACCCCUUUCGGCAGGGACGAAGCGAACGCGACGGUACCUGCAGAAGAAGCCCCGGCUAACUACGUGCCAGCAGCCGCCGUAAGAC